UUCAGAACUGUCUUUGGAGACAUUAAAAGGAGGAUACCUAAGAAGACAGAGCAGUCUUUGUGUAAACAGAGGACCAGGCAGCUGAAGGGCUGCCAUAGGCUCCCAGGGGAUCACCAAAUCUGUGCAAGUCCUUCAGAUGAACAAGCCCACCUUCUGAACUGUUUAAUCCAGGUAGGAUUGCUGGAAAGUGUAAUUCAAGGCCUUCCUCCAGGUAAGAUUCUUCAGUGAUUCCUGAGCCUUUUCUGGGGCUGUGCUGAUGUCUGUAUAGCCAGAGAUGGUCCAAUCCAAAUACUUACCAAUACAAGUUUAAAUCCCACAUCUUAGGUCAGUGGGUACAUCCAGCUAGUCCAGAUGUUUCUCAUCAAUGCCACCCCAUCCUUAUGAAGCCUUUUAUUCCCUUUAUCCCUGAUUUCUCCAAAAUUCUACAGUCAUCUCUCUAUUUGCUUCUUUAUUUUGCUAAAGUGACUUUUCCAGACCUGUGUUCCUUAGAUGCAGACACACAAAAUGUUUUGUACUUCUGUGGCACUUUCCAUCGAGGAAAGAGACUUUUAGAAGAGCUGGAAGAGAAGGAAUUAUCUCAAAUUUACAAGGCUGAGCAAACUCAAACAGCCCGAUUUGCCUGGGGAUGCACAAAAAUCAGGAAAAGAAAGGAAAAAAAAAACCCUGAACAUUUAUCUCCUAUCUCCCUAUAGCUUUUUUCCCCCCAUAAAGUGUAUUUCCUUUGCUUAUUCAUGACACCUUUAAAAAUACUAAAAAUCUUCUGUCCUUCUUAUGAAAAAUAACCAAACAUCUGGUGUAAAAUCCAUAUUUCUUAGUAGGCAAAAAGAUCAAACAAACUCAUAUUCUAUAGAAUCUGUCUGAUUCUCUCAAAAAGGUUUGCUGCUGACAUAGCUUCCCUGCUUCACUCAGGCAGCAUUAAGAAGCUCCUUUCUCCUCUGAGACCACAGGAGGUUUCAUAUCAUGUUGUUAACCUCCCUCAGAUCAUCCCCUCCAUGCACAAUCCCAGUCACAUUUACAUGCAGACAUAAUGUCACUCAGCCCACUUUAUGCCACUUACAUCUCCCUUGUUGCUAUGGGGAACACUGAUAAGGAACCAAUUAGCAAAUAAAAUAUUUGAUGCCGAAUGUGAAAGCCACUGCUCAGUGGAUUUGUGUGUCAUAGGCAGUGACAUUUCAUUUGGCAUUUGUCCUUACCUAGCUGGGCUUCUUCCACUGCAGCCUCAGCUACAUUCUGGGUAGUAAAAACACACCCUUCUUGGGAUUUAGGGGUUAGACAUGCAACUGUAUCUGACCCCGGGGAAUUUUUACAGCUAUCGGGAGAAGUGGGAGUGCUUUGAGGAGUGCUUUUGCAGCAUAAGAGUGCCAAGAGCACCAUCCAGUGCCUGAGCUGAGUAAACACACAAGAACUCGGUGGCGUUGGGACAGAGGCAGCUCUACACAUCCCAUGGUCCAGCUGCUCCUGGUGGGAUGCACGAGGAGUUCACAGAAAAAGGCUACAGUCAGUUAUAGAAGGAACUUAUAAGGGAAAGCUAGCAGAAUUUUCAGCCUUUCUGGAGAACGGGAGACAACCUAGAAGGUCACAUCUUUUAAAGAGCUGUCUUCUGAGUUGGAGUUACUGACUGUGGGAGCAAGAGAUGGGGCCAGUUAAGAAAAGUAGGUGAAUUAAAUCCAUGAUGGAAUGGAGCUUCUGCAGAGAGAGAAAACUGGACCAGGUACUUACCCUGUUAUCCUUCUCUUUGCAGAGUUGAAUCAGCAGAAAGAGACUAGGAGGGUGCACUGGUAGCUGAGAAAAUAAGGGAGAAGUGACCUCAGGUGCCACUGCACAGUCUCAACAGCCUGUAUUGUUUAAUAAAUGUAGGUAGUCCUGGAUUUAAAGAAUUAAAAAUAACUGGGAUUAAUGUUUUGCACAGUUGUGUGCAAUAAGUAGUAAAUUUUAGUACAUAUGGCUACAGGCUGUUACUGGGCUAGAGAAAAGGAAUUAACAGGAGAACAAGGAGUCCAUGGGGCUAAAAAUGGGCACAGGCAAAAAUACAUGUUAUCUGUAAAGAAGUGAUACCCAAAUAGAUGUCCAGGAAAAAGGAUGCAACUUUUCCAUGGAAUAGUAGCUGUGCAACAAUCUGUGGAAACUCUAGGUAAGCAAGGACAUACGAAUUUGGUAUAUUAUGAACUGGAUAUUUAUUAAUCAGAGAUGAAGAGUGCUCCAGUUUAGCACAAUGUUUGUGGUAACAUAUCACUAACAUAUCCUCCCUAAAACAAAACUUUAGGAAUAAUUUAGAAAUGCUGUAAUCCAAGACAGCUCCUCUGUUGUGUUCAGUGUUCCCAGGAACAGCUUAGCAUGUGUUUGCUCUUACUCCUUUUAUAUUGAACUUGAAGAGCAAAACUCACUUCUUUGAUUAAUAUUAAGCAGUGUUUGUUUGUGCCCUGUGGCAGAAGUGCCCAGAUGGAGAGUGUUGGGUACUGAAAACAUGAGAAGCAUUUAAUAUUCUGUGGAGGUCUGUUAAAGUAGUCUGAGUAGAACAUCUGGUAUCAAAUAUUUGGAUAAAUCAGUUUUUGGAAGUAUUUGGACCUACUCUGGAUCUGUGCUUUGUUCCAACUUUGCAUUCCCUCUCUUCCUUCCUUGUUGCUAGAGCCAGCAGAUGAUGGUUUAUUGCCUGGUGCAACCCAUUAAAGUCCCUUUGUUGGGGCUUGGCAAUUAGCUCAGCAGAAAGAGUGUAAAAAUCACUUUGACAUCUGUGGGGUUGAAAUGGCAACACUGGCUUAAGAUGUCCCUGAAAAGUUUUUUAUCUGUCCACAAGGUGAUGGAGAAAGAAGAAAGAAAGGUUAUGCAGAGGCUUUGAGAAGAUAUUGUCUGAUGUGUCUGCAGAGAGGGACCUAGAGAUGAAUCCUUUCACUUUAGGAAGUGUUUCAGCUAAGGAAGGCUGAGUACAUAGAGCUACUGUUACCCUGGCUGAGACUUUGGACAUUUGGCUUCAUUCUUGAACAGAUUUUCCUAUGAUUGGUGUUUUCCCCUGUAAAUUUUACCGAAUUUACCUGCUCAGAGGCUCUGACUCCUGGAGCUCUGAGCAAAGCUAUGAAAAAGCACCUAAUGGGAAUUCCUAAAUUGCACUCAAGAGUAUUGUAAAGCAACUGUUUCAUGUACAGUAACCAAGAAAAAGGUCUCAUAAUGUAACAUUUUCUGCUAAUAAGAAAAUAAGGUAUUUUAAGUUAUAUUCCUUUAAGAUGUCUUGCUAUGUCUUACUAUGUUUAAAGGGCUGGAGUUCUUCUCUUUUGUUUUGUUUUCAGGCUUGAUUCAUCAAGAGAACUUCAGAGAAGUUACUAUUGCCUCACACCAAUGAACUUUGAGAAAUCAAAUAUUGUAAGUUCUGAAAAUCUGAGUGGGAAUAAUGAACCAGUUCCAACAUUAUUUGGGGCCAAUUCAUAUAAACAAACAUAAACGUGAGUCUCAUUUUCUUACAAAACAAAGGG